rnacentral:misc_RNA from 1 species
UCUCCGUUGGUGAACCAGCGGAGGGAUCAUUACCGAGUUUACAACUCCCAAACCCCUAUGUGAACGUUACCAAACUGUUGCCUCGGCGGGAAAUUCAUGCCCCGGGCGCGUCGCAGCCCCGGACCAAGGCGCCCGCCGGAGGACCAACCAAAACUCUUUUGUAUGUCCCUCGCGGACUUUUAUAAUUCUGAACCAUCUCGGUGCCCCUAGCGGGCGUUUCGAAAAUGAAUCAAAACUUUCAACAACGGAUCUCUUGGUUCUG